rnacentral:rRNA from 1 species
GGCGGUGUACAUAAGACAUGCAAGUCGAACGGGAGAAGACAGGAAGAUUUAUCUACUUGUUGGACACCGCGGCGGACGGGUGAGUAACACGUAAGCAACCUGCCUAUAAGGGGGGAAUAACAGUGAGAAAUUACUGAUAAUACCGCAUAAGCUGGAGGUAUCGCAUGAUACAUUCAGAAAAGAUUUAUCGCUUAUAGAUGGGCUUGCGUCUGAUUAGCUAGUUGGUGAGAUAACAGCUCACCAAGGCGACGAUCAGUAGCCGGAUUGAGAGGUUGAACGGCCACAUUGGGACUGAGACACGGCCCAGACUCCUACGGGAGGCAGCAGUCGGGAAUAUUGCACAAUGGAGGAAACUCUGAUGCAGUGACACCGCGUAUAGGAAGAAGGUCUUAGGAUUGUAAGCUAUUGUCGUGUGAGAAGAAAAUGACCAUCCCCAGG